AUUGAACGCUGGCGGCAUGCUUUACACAUGCAAGUCGAACGGAAACAGGCCGCAAGGUGCUGACGAGUGGCGAACGGGUGAGUAAUGCAUCGGAACGUGCCCAGUCGUGGGGAUAACGCAGCGAAAGCUGUGCUAAUACCGCAUACGAUCUAUGGAUGAAAGCGGGGGACCGUAAGGCCUCGCGCGAUUGGAGCGGCCGAUGUCAGAUUAGGUAGUUGGUGGGGUAAAGGCUCACCAAGCCAACGAUCUGUAGCUGGUCUGAGAGGACGACCAGCAACACUGGGACUGGGACACGGCCCAGAGUCCUACGGGAGGCAGCAGUGGGGAAUUUUGGACAAUGGGCGCAAGCCUGAUCCAGCAAUGCCGCGUGCAGGAAGAAGGCCUUCGGGUUGUAAACUGCUUUUGUACGGAACGAAAAGGUUUGGGUUAAUACCCUGGGCCGAUGACGGUACCGUAAGAAUAAGCACCGGCUAACUACGUGCCUGCAGCCGCCGCCGUAA
rnacentral:rRNA from 1 species